ACGGGGGGGACCCUCAGGCUCUGGCUCAGUGCCCUGCUGCCCUCGCAGCCUCCGUGCCCUGUAUUUCAGCCUAAGCUGCUGGCAGCGUCCGUGCUGCUCUCCCGCCCCCCUGCUCUGCUUCUCCUCCCUCCCUUCCACCGCGAAGCUGGGGAACAGGAUAACCCAGUGGCUCCGUGACUCGAAGGGCUCUGCCGUGUCCUUUCCCUGCGCUGGAGCCAAGGGCGAGGAAGCAGCCGCAGCCCACGGGGCUGCUCUUGGGAUGGAGCCGAGCAUCCGCUGAGAACGAGCCCCCCGAGCACGGCACGAAAACAGAUUUACUGUUUCCAAACACACUGCCUCAGGGGCUGGGAAUACAACAGUGCCGAGGGGUCCCAGCUUUGGAAGGCAUCUCAGGACAAACGUGCACAGAGAACAGCUCCAGAUGAAAGAUCAGCAGCCAUCCUGUAGUAAAUGGCACGUGCCUUCUGUGUGGCUUCACACAAGACCCUCAACCAUGUGGUGUCCCAGUCUUCCCAAGGAAAAAUUGAGAAUAACCUUGUGUCACCAAGCAUAGCUCUAAUAUAGUCCCACUUACUACAGAGAAAUGUAAACAAAACUAUGUUAUUUUAUUAGAUGCCUAUUCCAGCACACUUCUGAUUAAAGGAGGAGAAGGCAGUGCUUUUUUCUGUAGGAACUGGCUCUGCAUUACAGCCCUGAAAGCUCAUCUUGGAGUCAGCUCUCUUUUCCUGCCAGUCUCCAGCUGUGUCAGAAAGAGCUAAUGGCUGGAUAUCAGGCAACCUGCACACUGAUACAAGAGAGGGCAGCUUCCCAAAAUUACUGCCUCUCUGGGGAUUAUUUCAACUCUCUUGAUCUCCAAGAACUGCAAUGGCUCAGAGAGGAGUGCUUCAGAGUUGAGGGGAAAAAGAGAAGAAUGAACUUGGAAAGCAAACAAACUACACUGGAAACCAGCACUUGCUCAUGUGAGUACAUGCUUGCCUACUCCCAUGGCCUGAGCAGGCUUUCAGCUCCACUCUUUGGAGCAGUCUGAACAAAGGUAAACCCCAAACAGUGAAUCCCAAUGUGCUCAGAGGACUCCAGGUGCCCUGGUCACCACUUUAUCUAAAGAAAUUCUAUGUAGUUACUUUGUGAAUUUGUCUUGUGUUAGUUACUUCAAAAUCAGCAAGUUAACUUCAGGAUCCCAUUUUUGGGACAUUCUUCUCCCCUGAUUUUUGUUCUGCUGUUUCCUCCUUUUUUCCAUCUGUAUGGGUAUUUGUAACAAUACAGAAUAAAAAAUUCAAUUUUAAAGUUGUUUCCUGAACCAUCGGGGUGAUCCUAUCAGCCUGCCUUGAUCUGAUGCUUAAGGCCCGGAUGACCAUCACAAAUAAUUUGUGACAUUUCAAAAGCCAUGGUCUCGUAGAGCUGAGGGUCUGUGAAGAGCCUGCAGACAGCAAGUCCUGUUUUGUCCUUCCAGAAAAAAUUUAUUUUAGUGUCUUGGAUCCGUGUUCAAGUGCUGGACUGGCCAUGCCACUGUUAGAGAGAUCGAGAGCCAGAGCUGUUAGCCCCCAGCACUAACACUGGGUAGGAAUUCUUUUGGCUCUGCAGCAAGGUUUCCCUGCCACCUCAUAUCCCCAGUUUUCUCUGUUGCCUUAGGAGAGUAUGGAUCAACCCUGGCAGAGUGGAGCAUCAUCACCUCCCAACACCAGCGACUCAGAGGGUGCAACUGUUCCCGUGGGACCGAAAUCCCACUUUUUAAUGGCAGGCACUUCUAAUAUGCCCCUUCUAGGAGUCCCUUGUCUGGGGACUCCCCUCAAGGUUAAUCUUCAAGGCUGAGCAGAAGAGAUUUGCCCACAGUUGUUGAUAUGGCUGCAGCUUUGCACAGAAGUCUCUCCACUGCAUGUUUGAAGCUGUAUCUGCCUGCAGCUCACCAGCAACAGGGAGCACAGACCUCCCUCUGUGAAGCACAUACACCGGCAGAUAAUCCAGAUCAGUUUACCUCUGUGUACCUGGCAGCACGCUACUGUGCACUGACCAAAUAUCAGAAGAGUUUGUGGUUAAUUAGGAUCAGAUUAAUCCCUGCUGACUGCCUGUCUCUGUGUAAAAAGGGCACUAGAGGUUAGAAAGUAUUAAGUACCUUAAAUGUCUACUUGCAUAAUGUAAAAACCUACUGAAGAUCCAGACUUUGUGUUUGAAAGUGUUGAUGUGAAAUAAUUUACCCCUAGAGCCAUUUAAACGUGCUUCUUAUCCUAUCAAAGCAAAAGAAUCCAUUAAAAAUUUUCCAGGAGAAAAUCUAAUAAACACUUGACCAUGGAAAAUAAUAAACCUGUACAACAGUGGAGACAAGACAUCUACAAAAAAGUGCCCUAGAGAUUCUGAAUAUUAUUUCCAACUUCAAAGAAUUUAGUUCAGCAUAUAAAGUAUCAUUUUUAUAGCUGCAAUAAAGUUUUCUGUUAUACAGUUGUACGUAGUUUUCAAUUUUAUUAGUUCCUAUUUAUCAUAAGAAUACAGCAAGUAAUAAUUAGAUAGUUUCAUAUAUACACCCAUUCUAUGGUAUGGCUCCCAUGGAGCCCAGAGGGCUUCACAGGAAAGACACAUUUCCAUGUUCUUAUAUGAUCAAUUUACUUAACACAUUAGUGACACUAAAAUGUAGAUUUGUACUUGGUUGAGAUGCUUUGCUAUGCCUAGGUGUGUGUGUGGUUAUAGGACAUGUCAAAAUAUGGAGAACAUUUGUGCUUUUCUCUUUUAAUAAGGAAGGAUCCUGAGGUUGAUUUAAAAAACUGAUCUGAUAGUAGAAAGAGUUUUAAAGGCAAGACAUAGUAAUAAAGGAUCUCCAGGUCUGUGAGAAAUGUCAAAUUUACACACACCUUCACAUGUCCUGACAGACCAUUGGGCCUUUUUUCUUCCGUAUUUUUUGUUAUUGGCACAUUCAUAUAAUUAUUAGGGACACUUACGUAAUAACAGGAUAUGAGCUUAUUUUGAGGUCGUCUGUUCUUGUGACUUACUCCCCAUUUACAGUCAUAAGCUUCUCAUUGUGACAUCAC